CUUACGCCAGCUGUAGCCGCACCUGGUCUUGCUGAUCGCCUCAAGAAAUUCGGUAUCAAUUUCUCUGUCAAUCUCUCC
rnacentral:sRNA from 1 species